rnacentral:lncRNA from 1 species
GUGUUUGUUUUUUUUUUUUUGUCUUUGCUGUCUUGAAUUGAAUUCAUUUUUGUUGUUGUUGUCUUAAAUUGAGUUCUUUGUUGUUUUUUAACUGUCUGUUUGAAAUUAAACACAAUGUAUGCUUGACGUCAUACAACAUCACGCUGGUAAUACAGGUACACAAUGAUGGCGUGCAACAAUUAAUUAUUUACAAAGUAAUUAUAUAACUUUACACUUGUGCGUACUUUUGAUAAAUAUGAAUUUUGACAAUUAUCACAUCGAGAAAAUUGGAUGGAAUAGUAACAUUAUGCUUCAUUAUUUGUUUGAUGUUUGUUACAAACCAC